CCCAGAGCUAUCGCUCAGUAGCCGAGGUCUGCUGGUUUGGAGCCGGCGCGGCUGGCGCCGCGACAACGAAUUCCGAGGUACAGAGGGGUUUCGGCAGAUUUCCUUUCCCUGGGGAAACCCGGGAGAGGAGAAUGACCCGGUAGCGGCUGCCAGCUCUCCCGAGAGAGGCUCACGUGGCGUGGGCGUUGCCGAGGCAGUGGCGCCCGCACGCAGGGAGGGCCAUGACGCGUCGCUGCCACCGGGCUCGGAGAGUAGGAGGGUGUACAGCAGAGACAGUACAAAUCACCAGCACAUUAUGUGUACUUUUCAUGUACUGACCGUGAAGCAAGUGCUGGAAGCAAAGGAUUACUAAG
ensembl:lncRNA